rnacentral:misc_RNA from 1 species
GAUGAAGAACGUAGCGAAAUGCGAUAAUUAAUGUGAAUUGCAGAAUUCAGUGAAUCAUCGAGUAUUUGAACGCACAUUGCGCCCCCUGGUAUUCCGGGGGGCAUGCCUGUCCGAGCGUCAUUGCUGCCCUCAAGCACGGCUUGUGUGUUGGGCUUCCGUCCCUGGCAACGGGGACGGGCCCAAAAGGCAGUGGCGGCACCAUGUCUGGUCCUCGAGCGUAUGGGGCUUUGUCACCCGCUCCCGUAGGUCCAGCUGGCAGCUAGCCUCGCAACCAAUCUUUUUAACCAGGUUGACCUCGGAUCAGGUAGGGAUACCCGCUGAACUUAAGCAUAUCAAUAAGCGGAGGA